rnacentral:rRNA from 3 species
AGCAGCCGCGGUAAUUCCAGCUCCAAUAGCGUAUAUUAAAGUUGUUGCAGUUAAAAAGCUCGUAGUUGAAUUUCGGGAUUGGCGCAUCGGUCGUGCCUCACGGGGUAUGAACUGGUGCAGUCAAUUUCUCACCUUCUGGAGAACCGCGAUGUCCUUAAUUGGAUGCCGCGGGGAACCAGGACCUUUACUUUGAAAAAAUUAGAGUGUUUAAAGCAGGCAUUUUUGCUUGAAUACAUUAGCAUGGAAUAAUAAAAUAGGACGGCAUGGUUCUAUUUUGUUGGUUUCUAGGACCACCGUAAUGAUUAAUAGGGAUAGUUGGGGGCAUUAGUAUUCAAUUGUCAGAGGUGAAAUUCUUGGAUUUAUUGAAGACUAACUACUGCGAAAGCAUUUGCCAAGGAUGUUUUCAUUAAUCAAGAACGAAAGUUAGGGGAUCGAAGACGAUCAGAUACCGUCGUAGUCUUAACCAUAAACUAUGCCGACUAGGAAUCAGACGAUGUUAAUUUUUUAAUGACUCGUUUGGCACCUUACG